rnacentral:rRNA from 1 species
GACAGAGGCCUCAAGCGUUAGGCGGAAUCACUGGGCUUAAAGCGUGUGUAGGCGGAUCGUUAAGUGUCUUGUGAAAUCCCACGGCUCACCCGUGGAACUGCUGGGCAUACUGGCGAUCUUGGGCCAACUAGGGGCAACUGGAACAAGCGGUGGAGCGGUGAAAAUGCGUAGAUAUCGCUUGGAACGCCGAAGGUGAAAACAGGUUGCUGGGGUUGUGCCGACGCUGAGACACGAAAGCCAGGGGAGCAAACGGG